ACCCCCAUCUCCCUGCCUGCUGCCUCCAGCAACCCUGGAAUCCGUGCGCGGCCGAGCCACACCCCCUUGGGCCUGGAGCGCGCGCCUCCAGCAGCCCCGGGCCACCUGCUAAGGUCACAAGAUUUUGCUUUGGCUGGCCCAUCAAAACCGCACGAGCAAAGAUUGCACCCUAACUCAGGACUCUUUCCCCAAUGGUCCAUAAAUUGAUUUUUCAGAGUUGUACCAUGGAUCAAGACUUGCUUUUGGGGCCAAAUAAUAUCCUGUUGCAUGGAUGCAUGGACGUCAUUUUCUGCUGGCUACCUUUGGAACAAGAGGUGGAACUCUCAGCUCCUCCUGCACCAUGCCUGCCUGGGUGCUGCCAUGCUCCCACCUUGAUGACAAUGGAUUGAACCUCUGAACCU
rnacentral:sRNA from 1 species